CACUAGCCUGCACAUCCCUCAUGCAGAGCUCCCGGCAGCACUAUCCAUGGAUCCUUCUACCCCAGGAGACGGGGGCUCCUCGGCAUAGCAAAAGGGUCAUGAGCACCCAGCAAUAGUAAAGCUCUGGAACACUAGGAGACACUAUAGAUGGGCCUGUCAAAGCCCUUCUUUCUUCAAAUGUCCCAUCUGGUAGAGAAAGGCCUUUAAUAAUAUGUUAGAAAAGUUAAGGAUCACAUAAGAGGAAAAAAAUGUUCUGCAGGGUUCUGAGAAUGAGAAAACACAUCCAGGGCCAGCAUGAGAAAUUCCUGGAAGAAAAAGAUCAUGAUGGGUUUGAGGCCAAGACAAAGGAAAGAGGAAGAGCAGAGCAGGCUUGGAGAAGUGAGAAAAGCCAGUGGACAGUGUCAGAGAAGAGUGCAGUUCCUUGUAGUGUACCACAUGGCAUGGCCCACCAGAGCUGAGCGCAGUUUCUCAAGUCACUGACAAGGAAUCGACUUGUAUAAACAGAAAACAGAAGGAUACUGGAGCAGUGAUCACCUAGGAGGAAAAUGGAGGGAACAGCAAGCUGACUACAUCAGAGAAACCACUGUCACACAUAAAGACCGGAACAGACAAGAACUCGGGGUCCUCCGACUUUGACAAUGUCUGUUGCAAGCUGCAAGGUCAGUUACUUGCAGCAAAUCUGGGGGUUCAUUCUGAGGGAGUUUACCACAAGGAGUAUUUCCACUCAGUGAAGA